rnacentral:rRNA from 1 species
AACGAACGCUGGCGGCAUGCCUAACACAUGCAAGUCGAACGAGACCUUCGUGUCUAGUUGCGCUCGGGUGCGUAACGCGUGGGAACCUGCCCUUAGGCUUCGAAUAACACCUCGAAAUGGGUGCUAAUACCGGAUAAUGUCUUCGGAUAAAAGAUUUAUCGCCUUUGGAUGGGCCCGCGUUGUAUUAGCCAGUUGGUAUGGUAAAAGCCUACCAAGGCGACGAUCCAUAGCUGGUAUGAGAGGAUGAUCAGCCACACUGGGACUGAGACACGGCCCAGACUCCUACGGAAGGGAGCAGUGGGGAAUAAUGGACAAUGGGCGAAAGCCUGAUCCAGCAAGGCCGCGUGAGUGAUGAAGGCGGUAGGGUAGGAAAGCUCUUUUAACCGGGAUGAUAAUGAGAGUACCGGGAGAAUAAGCUCCGGCUAAUUCGGU